UGAGAAACUAAAGCUUGGGGGUAGAUCUUCAGCGAGAGUAACUCACCCUGCUUGCUGUACAACACACUGCAGGCAGAAAGCAUCUUCCAGGGAACAUGCAGCACACAGAAAGGUUCAUUUCUCAGCUUGAACAAAGUGAGGAAGAAAGAUGCCUUUGCAACAUCAGCAAACAGAGAGAAUGAACAAAACAUCCCUGACUGAGUAAGAUGCGCGUCCUGUUCCCAUCCUUGAAACCAGUGGCAAACCUCAAGUUGAUUUCAGUGGGACCUGACUCCAGCUCACACAGUUUAUGCUGUUUUAAAGAACUAUGAAGAUGUUUCUGCUGUUUGUUCUUAGGUAAGCUCUUACACCUAAAGCAAUACAAAAACUCUGGGAUGAAAGGGUGAUAUGGAGAGCUUAACAUUUAAACACCUUUAAUAAAUGUGUUUGUUUUCUUAUUUUGAUGUGGCAGUAAGUACUUCUGUGUGUCACCCAUUGCCGUAACAUCUGGGCAUCUCAUAACAUUCAGAAGGAGUCAUGUUCAGAUGCCUGCUUCUAUCUCUACAAGGCACGCAGAUUUGUAUGAGCAGAAAUGGUGACUUUUCCUGAACUGUUUGGUCACAUAAUACGGCCAAGAUCUUCCUCAUUAUCCUGCUCUUUUUACACAUAAACGAUCCAAACCUGCAAAAUAAAUCACUUCUUCUCAGUCACUGUAUAAGCCCCGUCUUAUAGGUAUGUUCUCCAUCUCAUUUCUUCCUUGAGCCACCAGGAAUGAAACAAAUCUUGGCUCCAAGGCUGCAGGAAGAGUUGUCUUGCUGAACAAGAUCUGGUAAAAUCAGCAGCUGACCUCAGCCAAACCUGAAGUCCCCACUCUGCCAGAGCUAACACAGACCUCAUGGUGGAGCUCAGCUCCCCCAGUGCCUCAUUUCUCACCCAACAUCCUCUGUCUUUUCCUUUCCAUGGCCCAGAAAUGUGUACGUUCAUGGCCAGAGGUGAGCCCCUCCAAAGGGAACAUGUUGCAUUUUAUUAAAAUACCAUGAAGCUAAACUCAGCUCCAAACAAACAUUUUCAGCUCAACAUCAGCUCCAUGGGAGUGAGCAGGACGCUGGGUUUGGAGAGGUAGGUUGUUAUUAGUAUUGCACACACAUCUCAGCUAUACAAAGCACACAGAAUUAUUUAUAACACUUAACCUCUCUAGAAUCUAUCACGUGCCUGAAAAACUAAUAAUUCUAUAACUUAAGCUAAACAGAGCACUAUUCAGUUGUAAAUUUUAUGGCUAGUAUCUCCACCUCUUAUGAAGUGUGAAAAGAGGCUUCGGAUCUGUCAGUCUUUUCUCAGAAAUGACUUUCGCUGAUUACUUAAACUUUCGUUAAAUAAGCUUUCCACAAGCUGUAAAAACAGAACACAGUGGGGAAAAAAUUGGCUCUCUUUUAAAAGUGCUGUAAAGUCUCUUUUUGAAUGAGUAAUUAGAAAUGUGUAAACUCUUUUAUGGAUAUGUGAGAAGCACACACAAAAAAAUGUGACAUUCCAUGCAAGUAUUUCUGUGUGCUAUCAAAUUUCAUUGUAUUUCACAGAGACCAAAACUAUACAGGCCCAAAAUACACAUACAUUAGUGGACAUGGGUUAUUUGCCAAGAAUGAAUUUACAUACAGUACAAGUAAAACAUCCUAAUUUAAAUCUACGACAAUGGAUACUCACAUUCUUAAAGAGAAAUCAGAGUUGUUUGUCUUUCCACUCAUAUUUAUACAGAUUGCAAAGCUGUUGACAGAGCAUGAUUUGAGCUGGGCCUUUCCAACUGCUUACUGUUAUUUUUAUUGCCAUUGUCAGCUAUCUUUUUCAUAUCAAGAAUGAAGCUUGGAUGAAGAUGCUCUGAUUUUUCAAAGCCAUAAACAAAUAAAAGGAGACACCACGUCACACAGGAGCCGGGCACCAAGUGGGCAGUGGGGAAACCUACUGCUGGCCAUCAUCCCCCAAAAAUCUCCCUAAAAAGUCUCAGUUAAACCCAUACACCUUCUUGUCUUCAUUUCCUUUCAAGCCAUGGCUGUUCUGCGUCUUUACAGGGAUGCUUUGUAAGACAGAGGCAUGGUCAUUGCAUGGGACCAUGUCCUCAGCUGCAGCUCCUCAUGAUCUAUGAAUACUUUUCAGAGCCUUGCUGCAUGAAAUCCCUGCAAUACUAGAAAUAUUAGAUAAUAAAUAGCAAAGCCGCAGUGUUUGUGCUCUUUUAAAGUAGGAUGCACAGAUAGGACCGCAUGGUGAGUCACGCACCGCCCAGAAAUACAGAGCUCUCAGGGUGUGCACUUGGGUAUUUCUGUGGUUUUCGGCCCAGAUGAGCAUCCUGACCCCAAACCAAACUCUGCAGAUUCACCACAACGCCUUUAUACCAUCAGUGUUUUAGGGCAACCUCUAUUCCUCACCUUAAAACUCUGACAUCAAUCAUGCUGAGAAAAUAACUUUGCCUUCGGACAGGGAGGCAAGUCUUUUAUUGUAAAAAUAAGUAAAAGAAUUCCAUAUCUUUGCAAGGCCAGAUGAGCACUACCCAACCAAAAACACCUGCCUCCCCCAUACAGGUCAGAUUGGGGCCCCAUCCCCCCAGGAUAGCUGAGCAUGACCCCCUCAGGCUGGUGGGAUGCUCUCUUGAAAAGCUGGUGGACACCAUGCUGUGUACACGCACUGUGCACUAUAAAUAGUAAUGUCUUCUGUGCUGCUCUCCAUGGAAAAGCCGGCAGGAGGGGAAAUAGUCUCAAAUCUGUGUCGUUUUCAAGCUAAAGAGAGCCAGACUCAUUCUCUCCUCAGUGGGGAAGCUGUAGGUAGGGGGUAUGCCCCUGUAACCCUGUGGAGGCUGAACAGCCAGAGGAGGAAGCAGGUUCCAGCUAUCAUAAUGCAGGCUGCACUGACUGACCAGGCUCCUCGCUCCCAAAAAUGACUCAGGGCACAAAGUGCAUAGACCAUAGAGCAGCUGUUCCCCAAUUCUCCUUUAUCUAGAAGAUAUCAGCACCCUCAUUUUAUUCUCUCAUCCCCAGGAGCACAAUUAAGUCCCCAUCUGCAAAGUCCAACAGUGAUGCUGGCAGAGCAUGGUGCCCCCCACUCCUGCUCUGAGUGCACUGCUGGCACAGUGUUCGCUGCAAUGUUACACAGCCACCCACAGCACGGCUGCUAGGACAAAAGCAUGCAAAAGGAAAAGGCUUCACACAUCUUUAGUGUGGAGAAUGUAUUUACUGCUCCCACAAGCUAUUAGAUGGGGUGAUAUGGGCAAUUUAUUGUUUUGUCAAUAUCUUUUAUUUUGAUUUAAUAACUUACAAAAACUAGAGUCUAUCAGCAGCGCAGCCGCAACUUUUGCUAUACAACCCCACUUAACUUUCAAACACUUUAACUUUCAGGUCAAAUCUCUGUCACGUUGAUAAAUGGAUCUAUUUAAAUUUUUAUCACCGAAGAAUUCUCUCUGGUGUCUCAUUCACUAUCAGAUUUCAUGCACAAAAUAACAGGAUACUUAUUAUUUUUUGUUAUCCACCACAAAAAGAAAAAGAAAAAAGAAAAAGCAUGGAUGUCACUGUGAAAUGCCUGUAAUUUGUCUGGGGAUGCACAUGUGAAGAUCUUGCAUUUAUACAGGGAGCAUAUCAUCUGUAUUGAUUAUUAGCUUACAACAGAGAUGUACCAAGUCUCACUUGAAGCUAUGUUGUUGCUCUUUCUUGUACACUUUAGCAUUCACAUUAUGGAUGUCCUGCAAAGCUGCAAACAUUCCAUAUGGGAAGAAAUACAAUAUUUCUGUGAAUAAUAUGCAAAAACUUUGGGCAGAAAAGCCUACUAUAGGAUAUAUACACUAACCACAAGCUAUUCACAGAAUCACAGAAUUGUAGGGGUUAGAAGAGGCCUCUGGAGAUCAUCAAGUCCAACCCCAAAUCCCUGAGUUAAGAAGGAAACAUCAAAGAGUUCUAUGCUCACCCUCACGAGGCAUUGCCAUACAGUGCUUAGAAGGGUGUUUAAUCUCAUUUGGCCAUCUGACUAUUACUUCAUUAAGCAAACUAAGAGAAACAGCUACAAAGUCAACACAUUUUAGGUAUUAUUGUAAAUAAUCACCUGGUUUUCCUGCCAAUAAUCAAGACCAAAAAUAUAAUCCGAAUAGCACCAACUAUGCUAUAUAUAUUUAACCUUUACUUUAAAAUGGCAUUAAACAUUGAAGACUGUGGCUACUGUAAAGAUAGUAAAAACAGAUAUCGGAGGAAUAGAACAGUGUUUAAUGACAAGUUACAAAGGGUUCUACUGAGAGAAAAGCAAGAGCAAGAGAGGUUAAACAAACAGAAACCACAGUGUUCCAAUUUCACAUUAACUUUCAAUAGCUAGAAAGUAAAAUCUAUACUAUAUAUGAUUCGAUUUCCCCGAUUUGUGCGUUAAAUAUUUACUUCUAACCAUAAACUUAUGUGAGACCCAAACAAAAACUAAUUUGCAUUAUUAAUGAUGCAAGAAAUGUGAUGCUUAGUCUCUUAAGAUUUGUAAUAAAGAAGGAAAUAUGCUCAAGAUUUACUUUCUCUUUUUCAUUUUACAAGGCAAGUUUAAAUGAUAAAACUUAUUUAAUUAACAGAGACUCUAUUUAUGAAUUAGUUGUUCCUGCCAGAAAGAAUGUUUAAAAAAAAAAAAAAAAAGAAAAAGGAAAAAAAACUGUCUGAAAUGAGGCUGAGACUACAAAGAGUCCAUUUUCAGCUUCAGAGUCUCAUGGGAAAAAUCAAAGGGUUUCUUUCUUUCAACAGUUUGGGUGAGAUGAUAUUUUGAGAUGUUGACAGCUGCCAAACUGCAAAACCAGUGAAGAACUACCAAACUGAAAUCGUUUUUAUCUUUUUGAAUUUCCUCAGUAUUCAACUCAACUUCCUUUUACAUCUCACGGCUGAAAUUUCAACACCAGUGAAAGGUUUUUUCCUGCUUCGACGCUUGCGAUACCACCAUGGUCCAAAGAUGAACCCCCUCUCUUCUAAAAUUAAACAUAAGUAACACAGUACCACUAUUGACGACUAUUAGCAGUCUUCUAUUAUUAUUGUUGUUUUCAAGGGUGACACUUCAGCCCCUGAUCUAUGAUCAAAGUGCCACUGGGAAGGCAGCUCGCACAUAUAACAGAUGAGGUAGUACCUGAGCCAGGGAGCACUAUUUAGAGCCACAAGCCCAACAUGCGCGACUGCAGGAGGAGCCCAGCCCCCUUGGGGAGCCCAGUUGGCCUCUUAUUCCUCCUCCAUGUGCUAAGUGGCGCAAGAUCAAGACCUAAAAUCAUAUACUUUCAAGUAGAAAUAAAGUAAUGCUUUAAUUGACAAUUACGUGCUCAGUGUGAAACCAUGUUUCAAUGGUUAAUCAUCAUCAUCUAUCUCUAUGACACUGAAUGUUUUCACUAUGUUCACUUACGAGAUAUUCAUAAGACAGAAGAUUUUUCUCUAAAAAAAAAAAUUAAAAAAUCAAGCAGAAGUUAAAGCCUGCAUUUAUAGCUUGUCUUCUUUCUGGUAGAAGCUUUUUAGAAGAUACAAAACAAACCGUUUGUAAGUAAAUAAAUAAUUAUUAAUAAUAAUGCCUUCAACACAGCUUUAUUAUUCCCUUUCCUUUUCUUUGCUAAAUCCUGCUUCCGCUAGUAAAAUCAUCCCUUCUUUUCAAACUCCUUCACCUCUGUUAGUCUCAUCACCAACCCAGUGCUGGCUUCUCAGCUUCAGACAUCUGCUCCAGCUCCUGCUUUCCUCACCACAUACUCAUUAACUAAAUCAUCUCUUUCCUCUGAUUCAUUGUUUGAGCCAUCAGCCUGAGGAACAACUUCUCUUCAGCCCCUUCCCACUAAUGCCAGCUCCCACAGCACUGAAUUGGAGACACUUGGAUGAAUGUGCAAGCUACCUCGUGCCACCCAGGAACAGCAGGAUGCGGCCCAUGCAUACCCCAUCCCAUUUCAAGUUUGUUUGCUGAGGAAAGUCCAGAAACACCCAACAAGAAAGAAGAUCAUUGUGUCUCUGUCUGCACUCUCUAAGGGUACCAGUACAACCUGAAGGAGCUUGGCACAUUCAUAUCUACUGUAUGUUUGUAGUUUACUCUUGCUCACUAAGAACAUGUAUGACUACAGAUGAAAACUGGAGAAGUAAAACAAAGAAUGGGCCAUAAAGUAUUUUCAGCUUCCUGCAAAACAAGUUGAUGUUACUCUGGAAGAUGAUGGUUUUGAUGCAGCCGUGACUCAAAUUGAGCUUUAUCAAUUGCCAUUUAUGACUAAACUUCAGAACACAAUGUUGUUUCCAUGCCAUUUGCCAGAGUAGGAUAUCUAUUGUAAUGGGAUGGAGAAACUGUUUUUUAAUUCGCAAAACUCUUUGUGUUGAUGCAAUCAGCUGCAGAUUUCAGUAAGUUACUAGUUGAGAGUGAAUCAUCACUCUUACAGAAAGGAUUUAUUCCCCUAUUUCUUUAGAUGCUCACCUUCAGAAAAGGCAGGUGUGUGCCAGCAGCACUGAGCCCCAGCACUCACCACCCAGCCCUGCAAAACUAACAUUAUACUGAAAUAAAUAGGUACCAUUCUGCUGUUAUCAAAUCUGCCUUCUGCCUCACUGUAUGGGAAAUCCUGAGUCAUGCUAAUGGCUGAGACUGAGCACAUGUAAUGUGUGCUAGCAUUUCUUGUGGCCAGUUAAAAAUCAUAUAAUACACCGCAGGUUUAAAACAGAAUUUGAACACGUCAAGUCUCAUAACUUCCAAGAAAGCAAAUUUACCAUAAAAAAUAAUAGUUUCCACUCACUAGAUUUUAUAUUCAGGUCUCUGGCACAGAAUCUCGCCACCAAAGAAAUCUUUUAUGCAAGCACAUAAUCAGCGGAAGCCUUCAUUUUCGUUGCGGUUAGAUUUAAUGUGAUAAUGAAUAUUCCAGUGUCAGCUCUGGGUAAACUGAUGGGAUUUCACCUCAGAUACCCUCCUCCAAAUACCGCACGCAGGCACAUGCUUGCUGAGUGGUAAAUAAUUUAGCAGCAACAGCACAAGGACACCUGAGAUGUAUUCAUAAUGCAGAUGUACCUUGCUCAUAUACUGUCCUGUUUCUGGUCUUGUAAACAGCAUCCAUAGCACAGCAAAGAGAGUAAAGGGUCAUUACCUAUUAAUGCCCACCCCUUACAGCUGAGAGCAAAUGAAAGAAAGCCCCACAUAUACAGCCCUGUUAGGCACACGGUGUCACCGUAUUUUACUCUCAUGACCUAAUCAAGGCUGUCUACAGUAAGCUGCUUCCCAACAUAUUUUUAAGGAGUUGUUAUUUCCUUGUUUUUUUCACCUAUUUUGCAGUUGUUUGGCUGACAUUUUUCCUCUCGUUCUUUUUCUUCCAAGUUUCAAGUUUCCAGUCCAACACCACACACCACCUCUUUCUCUACUGCUGUUAACACUAUGGAGAUCAAACAAACACAAAAGUGUUUUCUGAAAAAAUAAUCAUUAAGCAUAUCAUGUGGUUUAGUUCCAGUGACAGCUGAAUAUUUGUUUCAUUAAUAAGUAAUUUGCAAUUAGUUCAUGGAAUCAUUUCUAAAAGAACAUUGUGAUGUUUCCAUGGAUUUAAGAGGCAAAACACUAGUCGUUUUUUGACAAAGUUUCAGUACAAAUUGCUCACGUGCAUCUACUGGUAAAAAUCCAACCUCUGCUGAGGUUGUUCCCUUGAUCUGGAAUCAUCGCUCCCAUCAGUGCUGGUGGGGAGACACAGUAUGCAAAUAAUUGCUGUACUCAGGAUUUGCAUUACAGCUGCAUGGUUGCUCCCACUGCUUCAUUCAAAUUAUUAUUAUUAAUGAAAUUACUAAGCUUAAGGUUUUUGUUUUCAUGUAACAUUCAUAAACAACUCUUCUCCAAAGAAUAAUACAAAAUAUCCACUGCAAAUUGCUAGAUCAACCUGUUUACACUUAAAAGGCUGGGCAUACAAGGGCCAAAUCCUCAAAUCUACUAGGAUCAACUUCUGUCCAGGAUGUGAUGUCCAUUCACUUUGACUUUUUAUUUUCAAGUAUUGAAUAGCAGCCUACUGUCUGUCACAGUAUUCUUUCUAACCUUAGACUGGCUCAAUUUUUGAAUAAACAACACAAGAAAAUGUUUUCAGCCCUGGAUACCAAAGCCACUUACACUCUGAACUCCAGGACUUGAUCACAGUAUUAUUUAGAUUGCAAAAGACCCUUCCAUACCUGGCCCACAAAGACUAAUUUCUAAGCCACAGAAACAAUUACAGUUGUUGCUGUAUCACCUUCUCAAUAACCUUUCCCCAAAACUGUAGAUUACAGAGUUGUCUGCAAUCAUUAAUUGCCUGAAGGAGAGAGAGAUAGCACCAAGCAACAAACCUUUAAUCAACAGAGAGCUCUGCAGAAAAGAAAAAUAAGUCCUUAGCAAGCAAGUUGCAAUGUUGUCGUGUUCUUUGUUUGUUUGUUUAAAUCCCUCUACAAAUACGUGAU